UUUGUACUCCCUCCGUCCCAAAAUUCUUGUCUUAAAUUUGUCUAAAUACGGAUGUAUCUAGUUACAUUUUAGUGUUAGAUACAUCCGUAUCUAAACAAAUGUAAGACAAGAAUUUUG
rnacentral:pre_miRNA from 1 species